AGCAGCCGCGGUAAUUCCAGCUCCAAUAGCGUAUAUUAAAGUUGUUGCAGUUAAAAAGCUCGUAGUUGAAUUUCGGGGUUAGUAGGUUGGUCAUGCCUCUGGUAUGUACUGGUCUCACUGAUUCCUCCUUCCUGAUGAGCCGUAAUGCCAUUAAUUUGGUGUUGCGGGGAAUUUGGACUGUUACUUUGAAAAAAUUGAGUGUUUAAAGCAAGCUAACGCUUGAAUACAUUAGCAUGGAAUAAUGAAAUAGGACGUUCGAUCCUAUUUUGUUGGUUUCUAGGAUUGACGUAAUGAUUUAAUAGGGAUAGUUGGGGGCAUUAGUAUUCAAUUGUCAGAGGUGAAAUUCUUGGAUUUAUUGAAGACUAACUACUGCAAAGCAUUUGCCAAGGAUGUUUCAUUAAUCAAGAACGAAAGUUAGGGGAUCGAAGACGAUCAGAUACCGUCGUAGUCUUAACCAUAAACUAUGCCGACUGGGGAUCGGAUGAUGUUAAUUUUUAUGUACUNAUUCCGGCNCCGUUAA
rnacentral:rRNA from 1 species